AUUCGAGGCGACGGGCUCCGGGCCCUGAUAGAUGGGGUGCGGGGACGGAGACAAAUGACGGCCUUUGGGCUCGGAAUACCCACCUUUCUGGUAAUGCAGCCCAGCGGGUCCCAGCCUCGUUUUCCAGCCCUCACUCAAAAUGGAGUCGCUCUGGUUCGAACGCCUCUGACAAGUGUGUACCUACGUGUCAGGGUUGGAGUGCCAUGGUGUGGUCAUAGCCCACUGAAGCCUCAAACCUCUGGGCUGAAGCCAUCCUUCCGCCUCAGCCUCCCAAGUAGCUGGGACCAUAGGUGCAUGGCACUGUGCCUGGCACUGUCUGAAUGCAUACAGCUGCGUAGCAUCGUGGUAAGAACACCCGCCCUGACAUCACACAGACCUGCAUCCACGUCCCAGCUGAGCCUCAGUUCUCACAUCUGCAAAAUGGGGAGAACAACAGCAGCAGCGUCCUGAGGCUGGGGUGAGGACCGAGUGAAAAACCUUUGUCGCAUCUUUGGGCAUCGCAGGAGUUCAAUAAAUGUUAGCUAUCGUUGUCA
rnacentral:lncRNA from 1 species